UUUGAUCGUUAUAUCUGCAAGUAAAUCAAGGAUUAUACUAAAAUGGGGGGAGUUUGAUGGUGAUUUUAGUAUCAACAAUGUAUUUUGGUAGUAAUGUGAUUUACUAUAGGCCAAUGCAAUUAUGCGUUAAAUUUGAAACGAGUCAGGGUAGUGCGGAGUGCACGCUCGUCAAGUCAAACGUGUAAUUGAAUACGAAUAAUUGAAACGGGGUUUUCGAAAAGGUGUGCCUGUUCGUUUGAAUAGUCGUACCCUUUCCCAACAUACAUGACCGUUUGAAUAGUC
rnacentral:lncRNA from 1 species